GCAAAAGUGUGAAGUGAUGUGUCAUCUAUAUAAAAGACAUGUAGGAGGAGAAUGAGAAAGAUUUUAUAUAAAGCUUAACAGAGAAUAUCUGAGAGAAUAUCAUGAAAGACUGCUGCUUUCUGAGUGGAGAAGAAACAUCUAUCAGAGAGUCAUCUGUGCUGGACUUCCUCCCUGGCAAGGGAGCAGAGAAGGAAUUACCCCUGUGGAGACUUCCAGACUGAGUCAUCUACUCUGGACAACUCCAAGGGCUCUGGAAGGCUGGUUCUUGGUCAGAGAACCACAGUAGUGAGUUGUGAAUGGGUUAGAGCCAGCAAUCGUGAUGAUUUCUUUGCAGAUUAUGGUUUUCUUGACCUUGGGACCCAACAAAACCUGUAAUCUUGUAGUGUGCAUGUGUGCAUGGAUGUCUAUUACCAGUUUUGCCACUCCCCAGUGUGGUCACAAGGAAAUCUUAUGCUAAAUUCUCUCAUUCAGCCACGUACAACCAACAGAAGUGAUGGGAAACUUCAUAUCACUUAUUGAACCAGAGGGGAAGGAGAGGAAUAGCAUCUCUGUCCUGUACCUAAUAUAGCCCAGCAUAGAUCCUGAUGGUCAGCUGCCUGUCUGGAGAAGUUAUUUUGGGAUCAAGAAGAAGGAAAAGGAGGAUGAGAAGCAAGAACAAUGUAUGACUGUUCUGGUUCCUUCAUUUAAAAAGGAAUUUCUGCGGUUCCCUUUCUCACUGAUCCUAGUUGUACAGGCAGUACAGGUUGUGUGAAUUGGGUCAAACCAUGGCUUCAAGGCUUUGCAAAUCUGUAUUAAGAUAUGCUGGCUUUAAUUCUAGCAAUAAGUUGAAAUUAUACUUACUAUAUAUUUCAUACAUCUCACCACAUAUUUCAUAAGUUUUGUAGGUUUAAAGUGUCUUAGACCUUAAUUUUUAACCAUAAACCUUAUCAUAAGCUAUAUGCUCCAAGACUGGUCUAAAAUUUGUUGUAGGUCUCCAUUUUGCAUACAUAUUUUCGGAAUUGGAAGAUAGGAAUAAUUUUAAGUUUGUUUGAAUAAUUGUAAUGGUGCAUAACUACAUAUACAACUAAUUUUAUAGGGUAUUUUGAGUUUGAUUUCUCCUCUCUUGUGUUUUGGGUUUUGAAAGAACAUUGUAGCAUCCUGUUUAGCUAUCUCCUUGCUUUCUUGUGUGGUAUUGAUUGACAGAUACAAGCUCAGUUUAGCAAAGUUUUUUUUUUUUUUUUUUUUUUCCCUUCCCUGGGAUCCCUGUCACCAUAGAGUACUAUAUUGAGCUUUUUAUCUCAGUUAGAGCAUUAAAAACUUCUGCUUUCAGGAAUUAAGCAUCAUAUUCACAAUUUCUUUAAUUAUUUUCCUAUUGGCUUUCUUUGAACAAAAGGAACUGCUGUGAUGGUCCAAGAUCAGAGUGAUAGAGAACAGAGGACAUUUUUUCCCCCUUUAGAUUACUUUUUGACAGCCUUUCUAUUUUUGUCACAUUGUUCAAUAUAUCAUUUUACUCACAUGAGAGAAAGCAGUUAUUGUGUUUUACUUGCCAAUGGUGCAGAAAAUGACUUAAAUGUUUUGCUUACUGAGCAUUCUUGAAGUUCUUCCUGAAUAUUAGGAACCUAUAAAAAGAGGUAUUACUUUUGAUUAGCACCAAGAGCUUUUUUUUUAAUUAUUAUUAUUUAUUUUAAUGUCUUUUAUGUGCAUCUAUUUUGGGUGCAAAUAAUUUAGAAUAGUGCCAUUAUUAAAGAAGAUGAGAGAUACUAUUGAUCAGAGAGACAUAUGCAUUAAAUAUUCUGGUGUCAAUAUGAACACAUGCUUAUUACAGAGACCUCUUGUUGGCAAGCUCAUUUUUAAAAAGUCAUUAUUAUAAAUUGCGUCGACUAGUCAGAUCAUAUAAAAUCUACUUGUACUGUAAUAUUCCAGAUGCUUGAUUACUGUUCUUCAAUGUAGCAAGUUGCCAGUUUCUCCCUCCUGAGAAUGUGUGACAGAUUGUAAUACAAUCUGUUGAUGUUCCUGAUUGAGCUAAAGUACAUCAUUGUCACCCAUGCUAAAAAGCUGGGACAUAUACUGCAAAUGUAUAAUUUUGUGAAAUAUAUGCUAGUGUUGUGUGUUCCAGAAAUUUCAAAUGGUACAAGACAAUGUACUUGAUCUGGUGAGGAGGAGGAUCAGAGGCAGAGGAAAACACAGCAGAUAAUUAUAGCAGCAAAAAUAGUGGAUAAGCUAAUUCUAUGAACAACACAGGUUAAAUUGUCUUUGGCAUGUGUGCUGGAGAUUGGAAAAGGGAGAAGCUAAAGGACCAAUACUUGUACUGGUCCCUACACUCCAUUUUCUCCUCUGAAAGGUCCAGGUGAAACAGCUAUCCCAACACAAAGUGAAUGGCAGAAAGGAAGGAAGGUCACACACUUGUGCUAUACCACCUCUGAGCUUUCAUAGAAAGGCAGAGACAUGGCACAGCGUCCUCAGUCCCUUUCUACACUCUGGUACAUGCAGGGAGGAAGAAGAGACUACAUACUGCUGGCUGAUGAUAU